rnacentral:tRNA from 1 species
GUUGUUUUUAUAAUUUAAUUUAAAAAUAUUGAUUUUGUAAUUCAACAAUAAGAAUCAUCUUUAAAAACU